CUACGUGCCAGCAGCCGCGGUAAUACGUAGGUGGCAAGCGUUGUCCGGAAUUAUUGGGCGUAAGGCGCGCGCAGGCGGAUUGGUCAGUCUGUCUUAAAAGUUCGGGGCUUAACCCCGUGAUGGGAUGGAAACUGCCAAUCUAGAGUAUCGGAGAGGAAAGUGGAAUUCCUAGUGUAGCGGUGAAAUGCGUAGAUAUUAGGAAGAACACCAGUGGCGAAGGCGACUUUCUGGACGAAAACUGACGCUGAGGCGCGAAAGCCAGGGGAGCGAACGGGAUUAGAUACCCCGGUAGUCCUGGCCGUAAACGAUGGGUACUAGGUGUAGGAGGUAUCGACCCCUUCUGUGCCGGAGUUAACGCAAUAAGUACCCCGCCUGGGGAGUACGACCGCAAGGUUGAAACUCAAAGGAAUUGACGGGGGCCCGCACAAGCGGUGGAGUAUGUGGUUUAAUUCGACGCAACGCGAAGAACCUUACCAGGUCUUGACAU
rnacentral:rRNA from 1 species